GACGAGCGCUGGCGGCGUGCUUAACACAUGCAAGUCGAGCGGAAAGGCCCUUCGGGGUACUCGAGCGGCGAACGGGUGAGUAACACGUGAGUAACCUGCCCCAGACUUUGGGAUAACCCUCGGAAACGGGGGCUAAUACCGGAUACGACACAGCUUCGCAUGGGGUCUGUGUGGAAAGUUUUUCGGUUUGGGAUGGGCUCGCGGCCUAUCAGCUUGUUGGUGGGGUGAUGGCCUACCAAGGCGACGACGGGUAGCCGGCCUGAGAGGGCGACCGGCCACACUGGGACUGAGACACGGCCCAGACUCCUACGGGAGGCGGCAGUGGGGAAUAUUGCACAAUGGGCGGAAGCCUGAUGCAGCGACGCCGCGUGAGGGAUGACGGCCUUCGGGUUGUAAACCUCUUUCAGCAGGGACGAAGCGUAAGUGACGGUACCUGCAGAAGAAGCGCCGGCCAACUACGUG
rnacentral:rRNA from 1 species